CUGAUAUACUUUUAGCCACAGACCGGCUCGUGGCUAAAAAGUAUAAUGAAAUCUGACAUACUUUUUAGCCACAGACCGGGUCGUGGCUAAAAAGUAUA